rnacentral:misc_RNA from 1 species
GAACUGCGAUACGUAAUGUGACUUGCAGAAUCUCGUGAAUCAUCAAAUCUUUGAACGCAAAUGGCGCUCCCGUGCAGGGAGCACGCCUGUCUGAGUAUCAUAUACCCUCUCUAUUUUCGAUUUCCCCUUAAGCGGGUGGAUCGAAAUUCUGGUGGGAGUCUCACAAUUUCGAUAUUGUGCGUCUUCUUAAAGACCUCAUUUUCAAAUCUGGGGUGGUUUUUGCCGUUUUCCCUAAAACCUAAAAAAUCCCUGGGGCUGUUUUUGCGCUGUAAGCUUUACUGCUCCUCGCAAUGCACGCCUCUCGGUUUGGGUGGUAGGGGGCGAAACCGCCGCAUUUUUAUUAUUCCGUGAUCUCAGAUCAGGCGAGACGACCCGCUGAACUUAA